rnacentral:rRNA from 1 species
AACGAACGCUGGCGGCAUGCCUAACACAUGCAAGUCGAACGAAACCUUCGUGUCUAUUUGCGCACGUGUGCGUAACGCGUGGGAACCUGCCCUUAGGUUCCGAAUAACUCCCCGUAAGGUGUGCUAAUACCGGUUAAUGUCUUCGGACCAAAGAUUUAUCGCCUUUUGAUGGGCCCGCGUUGGAUUAGCUAGUUGGUAGGGUAAAAGCCUACCAAGGCGACGUUCCUUAGCUGGUCGGAGAGGAUGAUCAGCCACAAUGGGAAUGAGACACGGCCCAGACCCGUACGGGAGGCAGGAGUGGGGAAUAUUAGAGAAGGGGAGAAAGCCUGACAAAGCAAUGCCGGGUGAGAGAUGAAGGCGGUAGGGUUGUAAAGCUCUUUUAGCCGGGAUGAGAAUGACAGUAACGGGAGAAUAAGCUCCGGCUAACUACGUG